CCCACUGCAUUAUUGAUCAUAUGAGCUGGUACAUCCCUCUCUCUCCCCUUUUUCAUCUUCUUCUCCAACAUAAUUUUGAGCGACGGACUUCCACUUUUUCCUCUCUGAGAUCGUUCUUAUCUCCACCGGAAUACGAAGAACGACGGUGAGUUCUAGGCAACAAUUCCAGCAGGAAAUGAAAGGUGGAGAGAAGAGAAUGCAACGACGUUGCCUCCCUCGGCGACAACUCCUCGUGUUAUUCGGCAUUGUAUUGCCGAUGGAUUAGGUUCAGGGUUCGAUCUGCAAUCAUCUUAUUUUUGCUUAGUUGCUUAUAUAUGGUUGUGGCUGAAAUUACCAGGUUGAUUAAUGACGGCUAUUAAGAAAUUGAACUCUGAUUUAUUAGGGACGCAUACUUUCGUGUCCGGUUCAUAUUCAUAUGUCUGGGUUCUAUUUAUCUCUUGUUUCAUCAAGACGAUUCAUAAAAAUGGGAUCCCUGACGAUUCAAGACCGGGAGCCAGCUCUGUAAUUUCAUCUUUCGGCAGAGCACGGUGGCGGGGUAGGUUGGAGGAACAAUCCCCAUAUCUACGUCCACUUUAUUCACAUGCGUCAGAUUCACUUACUGCUUCUCGAUAUGAUUGGAAGAUUUAGCUUUGCAGCCCCUGAGUCUCCAAAGAGCACGUUAUACCUAUUCUGGGAGUUUCCCUCUGAUCUAUACAAUUUCAAUUAUUUUCAUUGCUGUCAUGGCCUGCCGAGACAACGGUCAACAACGGCGUAGUGUUCAAGCUCGACGUGGCGGCAAUGAUGGAGCGUUAGCUUUAAAGAUGAUUAGUAUUUUAUUUUUGUGGCUCGAGCUCCUCAAGAACGACGAACCUGAAGCAGAGAGGAAGAUCUGAAUCAAUCUUAUACGAUUGGAGUAAGGAAGUAUGUUGAACGGCGGAGGAGCACGAAGGGUAGUCUAAGCUUCAAUACGCUGAAAAAUUGGAGAAGGGGUAGGAAUAUUUAAAAGGAUUUAACUUUUAGUUGUUUUUAGUUAAAAUUUUAUUAUUAUAUGAUGGGAGUCUCUAUGGUAGAUAAGUUGACUAAUAUGUUGUGAUUGUUAAGUUUGAUCAUUAAGUGGACCGUCAAAUUUUAAUUAUGUGACAUAAUAAGUAUUGAGAGUUGUUAAACGUUGGCUUACAUUUUACUGUCAAACCCCCUAAUAUCGUCGCAAUAUUUGAGUUCGGCAAUAAAAUGAUGUAAACGCC
rnacentral:lncRNA from 1 species